CCCUUAGAUGUUCUGGGCCGCACGCGCGCUACACUGGUGCGUUCAACAAGUUUACAACCUUGAUUGACAAGUCUGGGUAAUCUUUUGAAUGCGCACCGUGCUAGGGAUAGAUUAUUGCAAUUAUUAAUCUUGAACGAGGAAUUCCUAGUAAACGCAAGUCAUCAGCUUGCAUUGAUUACGUCCCUGCCCUUUGUACACACCGCCCGUCGCACCUACUGAUUGAAUGACUCGGUGAAAUCUCGGGACGGCGGCUUGGUCGCUUGCGUCCGACUGCUGAAACUUGAUUAAACCAUAUCAUUUAGAGGAAGGUGAAGUCGUAACA
rnacentral:rRNA from 1 species